rnacentral:rRNA from 1 species
GCCCAGACUCCUACGGGAGGCAGCAGUGAGGAAUAUUGGUCAAUGGGCGAGAGCCUGAACCAGCCAAGUCGCGUGAGGGAGUACUGCCCUAUGGGUUGUAAACCUCUUUUGUCGGGGAGCAAAAGCCGGACGUGUCCGGCUGUGAGAGUACCCGAAGAAAAAGCAUCGGCUAACUCCGUGCCAGCAGCCGCGGUAAUACGGAGGAUGCGAGCGUUAUCCGGAUUUAUUGGGUUUAAAGGGUGCGCAGGCGGAUUUUUAAGUCAGCGGUCAAAUCGUGGGGCUCAACCCCAUCCAGCCGUUGAAACUGGGGAUCUAGAGUGUGCGAGAGGUAUGCGGAAUGCGUGGUGUAGCGGUGAAAUGCUUAGAUAUAACUUAGAACUCCGAUAGCGAAGGCAGCUUACCAGACUGCGACUGACGCUGAAGCACGAGAGCGUGGGUAGCGAACAGGAUUAGAUACCCCGGUA